CGCACUCGCGCCCCACCCACCCACUAUGCUCUCUUCCCCGAUCCCCUCCCAUGAACCCUAGCCUCCUGGUGCCGCCACCCCUCCCCCGUGGUCGGCCUCGACGAGCACGGCCUCGAUCCGGCCUCAGUAGGAAGACCUCGAGCCGAGGAGCGCGGCCUCGAUCGGGACUCGGCAUCUGAAGCAGCGACGGAGGAGGGGAAAGGAGGGGAGCAGCAGCCAGCAUCAGGGCGGCGGCGAGGGGAGCAUAGGCGGCUGCUCUGCUGCUGCUGCCAUCCGACCUUUCCCUCUCCCUCAGUUUCUCAACUCAGCAUGAGGAUCUUAGACCGAAGCUACAGGAGGGGGCGCCACCAACAUGUCUUCCGUCUCCGCGAGCCAACGACGACGAGGAGCUAUGGAGAGCCACCAUGGAUUCGCUGCUACAUCAACGCUUCAUCUCAAGGUGUCACAACAGAUGUUUGUGUAAAUACCCGAGAGGAAGACUUCUUGGGGAAGAUGUUGAUAUGUCUGUAUCUUCUUUUGUUUGAAAGGGGCUAGCUUUUACUGUGAAUCUCUAGGACAGUUUGGCACAUGAGGCAGUAGAGAUGGAUUAGUUACAAGGAUAUUAGGAGAGAAAAAAAUUUGGUGACUUUGACAAGCUUGGAUUGACAGAUCAUUCAUGCCAUGGUUGGAUGUGAAUAGGGCAGUGUACAUCCAAAAUUUGUUUGGUUGAUCAGACUAUUUGUUCGUUUGGCUGUCUUAAUGCAAUACCAUUUGCAUAAAUUUUGCAAACAUCAGCAAAGAUUUCAGCAGCAGGGAGUGUUUGCCGCAGUGGAAACGAAGCAAGAACUAGAAGGAGCUCAGGAUUUUGCUACUACGUUGCUAAAGCUUUGUGAGUGAAUGGUGGAUGAUCUUGAGAUAAAGGCUGGCUGGCUGUAGAUGGUCGCACUCGCACCUGUAGUACUAAGGAUGGAUGUCCUGGACGUGAUCUCAAGGCACGGGCCAAGUGUCAGCAUGGAGGACCUGGAACAGUAUGAAAGGUUCAAUGAGCAAUUCGGCAAGCAGGGUUGAUCAUGAAGAGAGAGAGAGAGAGAGUACUCCACUUGUACUGAAGAAAUACUGCACGAAUAUGGUUGGUUGUGCCUUGGAAGAAGUUGGAUUCGCCGCGUCCCAAGUCGAGAGGUACCCAUUGCGGAUAAUACUCGUAAACAAACAAAUCCACCGGCGAGAAAUGCUUCAUAUGCUUCUUUUUUUGUUCGGUCGAUUCAGCUUCCUGAAUCUUGAGUGGUUUUCACCAUUGGGAAAUUCAAGCGACGGAAGGGGUAUCUGUGCUUUUGCACAAAGGUAUAACCAUAUAAGUGCAAUAUAAGGGCUAAUUAGAAGUAUAUACUGAGACAAAACAAGUUGCUGAGGAAACUGCUGCUGCAGCUGAAGAUGCAAAUAAUGUUCUCUGUAACCAAGUGGAACGCAAAAGUUGGCUUGCUCUCGGUCUUUGCGCCAUGGGCGCAACGGGUCAUCUAGGAAGACCUCGAGCCAAGGAGCGCGACCUCGAUCGGGACUCGGCAUCUGGAGCGGCGACGGAGGAGGGGAAAGGAGGGGAGCAGCAGCCAGCAUCGGGGCGGCGGCGGCGACUUGACUCCAUAAGCUGGUCGAGGUGCUUCAAGCAAGGCCGGUGGUGGGGUCAAGGGGCAGGGGAGGCGAGCGAAGAGGAUAAUAAGCAGCCGGCCCGUCGCAAUGGUGUGAGGCUGCAGGGAAGAGGAAGGAGGACGACGACGGGGUGAAUGAGUAGGUCAGCCCUCAUGGAGACGGCGCCGCCAGCCAGGGGCGUUGUUGGCGCGCUGGACGUCGUCCUUCUCAACCCGUGCUCGCCUCCCCUCGCUUCUGGCGCCCAGGAGCUCGAGUAGGAAGAGGAGACCUCGAUGGUCUGCGGCUCGUGGAGACCCGCGCAUCCUCUAACCUCGACAAGAUCAUGCAAUUCCUUUCAAUCCAUGGAACAAUGUGUGCGUUAGGCGAUAGCAAGGCCGUCGGACAAUCAUGAUGCUAUUUUCUUAUUUGAAAUCAGAAUGCUACUAGGACAGUCUUAAUUUUGGAAAAUCAGAUCAAACAAGAGAUAUGAUUGAUACCUGGUGAUACAAUUGGAGAAAGGGAUAUGAUAUGUCUGGCAAUGGUUUAGGAAGAUACAAUUGGUGUUCAGAUUGUUAGGUACGAGGAUCAUCAGUGGCCAUGCAGGAGCAACAACAGGAGAUAAUGCCCAGUUCGUGAAUUUAUUCUCUUAGCUUCGAGGCUUCCUGCUCAAGUUGUGUACUUCCAAGUGUACAAAGCAGUAUCGUGUUGAGAUUCAGGAAAAUUGCUAAUUUAUAUUAGUAAUUAUGUAAUCAUGUACUAUGAACUUCCUCAAAUUAGCUGGUUAGUCUCGUGUGGACAUUUAUUUGCUGGUGAGGGAAGCAGUUUAACAUGUGUGUUUUCCCUAUGUUGGCAUCUGCUUCCUCAGAUAAUUGAUGUUAGUUAUCCACUUGCAGUAUAAAUAAUCUCUCUAAUCAGUAACGUUGUUAUUGUAAAUGGUCCCUGUAUUUUUUUUUUGCAUAUUGCUAUUGUGAGUAAUAUUCCACCCAAAGAAUAAUAUUGUUAUAUCUCCAAUUUCUGCGUUGCAACAAUGGAUGGUUCUGCUUUAGGUCCUAUAGCUUUUUUUGAAGCUGUAGUUCCUUUAGCCUUUUGGUGUCAUGUCUUUCUGACUAUUGUAGCUAUACAAUUUGACAAUAUAUGCUCAAAUGUUAUGUGUUCUUUACCUUUAGAUUUAUCAGGUGAAGGGAUUAUCGAUCAUAUAAAUCCCGGCCCUGAGGCACUUGCCAUCGCUAAUCCUCCUCCAUCGUUCGAUUUUCUUUAGUGUGGUAUGAUUUUUACGCUGGCAGUUGUUGCACCAUUCAUUCAUGUUGCACAUCAUUAGUUUCGUCAAGAGUCAAUGACAUGUGGCACUCGUUGGAUGUAGGCCCAGGCAAAUGAAGUGAGUUUUCCUCUGAUCAGCGUAUGAGAAUAACUUGACAUGCGGGGAGCGCUGUGAAAACCCUAGCCCCCAAUCCCCUUCCUUCCUCGAGCCCUGCACCCAACCAAUUCGCCUCUCCCCUCUUCUGUCGCCUUGCCCCUUCUCCUCUCGCCUCUUCUCCUCAAGCGCGCAGCUCUCCCUGCUAGCGAUCUCGCGCCACUGCCGCCCUUCGCCUCGCCCAUGCCCGAACCCCCACCGCACAGCAAGAGGCAGGGAGGGCUGACGUCGGAGCCGGUGGUUGAGGUCACCUGCAAGGCUUCAGCGCAUGAAAACCUGCAACUGCUAUCAAGCGAACCACGGGAGGGAGCAGCAGGCAUAGAAGAAAUCCCAAGCCAAUUUUGCUCAGCUGUAGCAUCUUCCACUGACAAUAAGUCUGCACAGCAGCAUGGUGAGGUUGAUGUUCUUGCUCAGGAUAAGCCAACAAUGGAGAAACUGACCAAGCUAUCUUUCAUGAUCAGUUACACACGAAGCCUAUAUUUUUGCUGCUUCUACAUGUUGCUAUGAUGGUUAUUCAGCCCAUUUUCUUGAACCUGCACUACAACGAGAGAUCUGGGCUGCUUCUUUGUGGCUUCCAAACUUAAAA